rnacentral:rRNA from 1 species
CGCUGGCGGCGUGCCUAAUACAUGCAAGUCGAACGGCUUUUCUAUGGAAGCUUGCUUCCACUGAGAAGAUAGUGGCGAACGGGUGAGUAACACGUGGGUAACCUGCCCAUAAGAGGGGGAUAACAUCCGGAAACGGGUGCUAAUACCGCAUAGUUUUCUUGAUUGCAUGAUUGAGAAAGGAAAGACGGCCUUUGUGCUGUCGCUUAUGGAUGGACCCGCGGCGUAUUAGUUAGUUGGUGAGGUAACGGCUCACCAAGACGAUGAUACGUAGCCGACCUGAGAGGGUGAUCGGCCACAUUGGGACUGAGACACGGCCCAAACUCCUACGGGAGGCAGCAGUAGGGAAUCUUCCGCAAUGGACGAAAGUCUGACGGAGCAACGCCGCGUGAGUGAAGAAAGGUUUUCGGAUCGUAAAACUCUGUUGUCAGAGAAGAACAAGUUGGAGAGUAACUGCUCCAGCCUUGACGGUAUCUGACCAGAAAGCCACGGCUAACUACGUGCCAGCCGCAGC